UACGUAGGAUGCAAGCGUUGUCCGGACUUACUGGGCGUAAAGCGCGCGCAGGCGGCACCUCAAGUAUUCAGUGAAAUCUCCCUGCUCAACGGGGAGGGUGCUGAGUAGACUGAGGAGCUGGAGGACGGUAGAGGGGGGUAGAAUUGCUGGUGUAGCGGUGAAAUGCGUAGAGAUCAGCAGGAAUACCCGUGGCGAAGGCGGCCCCCUGGGCCGUUUCUGACGCUGAGGCGCGAAGGCUAGGGGAGCGAACGGG
rnacentral:rRNA from 1 species